ensembl:lncRNA
AUAUUCUACAUGGCCUCCACUGGAAUUCUGAGAAAUGAAGGAAAAGAAUCAGAAUAAGCAGCACUCUUUUCAUCAAAACUGCCAGAAGAGGACAGCAGUGCUCAUCGUGUAUCCUGUAUUAUUAAUAUUUAUGAUUCAGAUACUUACACCAUUUCUUAUGCGAUUCCUCCAUUGCAAAUGACUACUAUCCUGUUAGCCAUUGAUAAGCGCUUUUGAAACUCCUGUGAAUAGCAUAAAUCAUCCAAACAUGUUCAUGUUUGUUAUAUUCAUAUAUAUAAUAUUCAUUAUUAAUGAGCUCCGGUGUACCUGAGCGCUGUCUGUGUCUCGUAUGCCCAGCACAUGAGGGUUAUCUUGGGUGAGAAGCUUGGGUCUUGCUCUGCUGGUUUUUAUAAUGUUUUAUAUACUCUGCAUCGAUCUGGUCUUCUGCUGUAACGAUAUUGUGUAGUCUGUCUAAAAAUGUGAAUAUGUAGGCCGUGUUGUACGGGCCUAAGUUGGCCUGCCAGUGGAGGACCCCAUUCUGUGUUAGUGCAGCACACAUUGUGAUGUUAUCACCAUGUUGGCCCGGGGACAUUCAGAAUAGCUAUGUGGCCAACAAUGUUUCUCCCUCUCCCUCUUACUGCAACAUUGCCUUCCAAUUUUUUUGAAGACACAUAAACUCAUCUUUUGCCUUUUUAUAUUAAUUGCACCUGAUUGUUGAGUUUACAGUUAAGCACCUAAAUGUCUGCACUCCUGACACCCUGGUUUGAAUAACUGGUUUAUAGGUGUGGUAUAUUGGAAAAUAGUGUCUUGAAAUGGCAAAGAAGUGACAUCAUGUUAGAUUUAUGUGUCUAAAUUAAAGAAGUGUGUUUAGUGUAUUGCAAAACACUGUGUGUGUGUGUGUGUGUGUGUGUGUGUGUGUGUGUGUGUGUGUGUGUGUGUGUGUGUGUGUGUGUGUGUGUGUGUGUUUAAAAUAUGCAAUACAAAUACUAGUUUCAGUUGAAAUUACAUUAAAGUGCUUUUUCAUAAAUGUUUAUCAGCAAUACACUUUAACCACAUUUAACCACAUUUAGAAAUAAUUCUAAAAUUGCAUAUAAAGAUUUAAUGUUUUACUAUUUUUCAUUAUUUUAUGAAGAAAUUACUUAGAGAAAUUUGUCUACUUAAUUGGGUCAAAAAGCACUCUUAAGUUCAUUAUUAUAAUUAUUAUUUAAAUUUGAUUUAUAAUUCAUAUUACUUUUUAAUUACACUGUAAAAAAUGACCGUGAAAUUUACAGAAAAACUAUGUAAAAUCCAUACAGAAAAGUAUUGUAAACCCCAAAACAUAUUUUUUUUGUUUAAUUCACAGUGGAAUUUUGUAAACUAUUAAACAUAAUAUUUUGUUAUAUUUACAAUAACAAUAUGUGAUUGUAAUCAAAAUUAUUUGUUAAAAUUACAAAUUAUUGGUAUCAAAAACAGAGAAAUACUGUAAUACUCAUAACAAAACAAUUUUGUUAAUUUGACAUGCAAAUAUUGUAAAAACUAAAGUUUUAGUCUGUUGUUUUUAAAAAUACAAAUAAAGUAUGUAUGUCACUUUACAAGUUUAUGCUGUAGACUAAUUUUAGCAUGAUUGAUGAAACGAUGCAAAUUGAGGUAAUACAUUUUUUUCCACAAAAAAAUAAAAAUAAUUGUGAACCUGAGAGGUUGCCCAUCUAUAUAUAUAAAAAUAUGGCUACAAUUAUAAUAAUAUUGUUUUUAUAAUUUAGGCUAUUUGUUUGUAGCAUAUUGUACACUGUAAAAAAUAAGUGUCA